rnacentral:rRNA from 1 species
AGCAGCCGCGGUAAUUCCAGCUCCAAUAGCGUAUAUUAAAGUUGUUGCAGUUAAAAAGCUCGUAGUUGAAUUUCGGGAUCAAUAUGUCGGUCGUGCCUUCGGUACGUACUGGUAUCAUUGGUCUCUCCUUUCUGACGAACCAUGAUGUCAUUAAUUUGGUGUUAUGGGGAGUUAGGACUGUUACUUUAGAAAAAUUAGAGUGUUUAAAGCAGGCUUUAGCUUGAAUACAUUAGCAUGGAAUAAUGAAAUAGGACGUUCGAACCUAUUUUGUUGGUUUCUAGGAUCAACGUAAUGAUUAAUAGGGAUAGUUGGGGGCAUUAGUAUUCAAUUGUCAGAGGUGAAAUUCUUGGAUUUAUUGAAGACUAACUACUGCGAAAGCAUUUGCCAAGGAUGUUUUCAUUAAUCAAGAACGAAAGUUAGGGGAUCGAAGACGAUCAGAUACCGUCGUAG